UACGUAGGCAGCAAGCGUUGUUCGGAAUUACUGGGCGUAAAGAGUGUGUAGGCGGUGUUCUAAGUCUGUUGUGAAAUCUCCCGGCUUAACUGGGAGGGUGCGGCGGAAACUGGAAUGCUAGAGGAUGGGAGAGGUAAGCGGAAUUCCUGGUGUAGCGGUGAAAUGCGCAGAUAUCAGGAGGAACACCGGUGGCGAAGGCGGAUCUCUGGGCCAUUACUGACGCUGAGGAGCGAAAGCGUGGGGAGCGAACAGG
rnacentral:rRNA from 1 species